CACGUAGUUGGCCGGCGCUUCUUCUGCGGGUACCGUCACUCUCGCUUCGUCCCCGCUGAAAGAGGUUUACAACCCGAAGGCCGUCAUCCCUCACGCGGCGUUGCUGCGUCAGGCUUUCGCCCAUUGCGCAAAGAUUCCCCCACUGCUGCCUCCCGUAGGAGUCUGGGCCGUGUCUCAGUCCCAGUGUGGCCGGUCGCCCUCUCAGGCCGGCUACCCGUCACAGCCUUGGUAGGCCAUUACCCCGACCAACAAGCUGAUAGGCCGCGAGCCCAUCCCUAGCCGGUCAAAGACCUUUCCACCCCCGACCCAUGCGGGCAGAAGUCAUAUCCGGUAUUAGACCCAGUUUCCCAGGCUUAUCCCAGAGCUAGGGGCAGGUUACUCACGUGUUACUCACCCGUUCGCCGCUCGAGCACCCCCGAAGGGGCCUUUCCGCACGACUUGCAUGUGUUAAGCACGCCGCCAGCGUUCGUCCUCGAGCUAGGAUCAAACUAC
rnacentral:rRNA from 1 species